CCCUUCUACGACCAUCUCUUCACGCCUGCCCUCCUUGCACCAGUGACCUCAUCUGUCCGUGACCUGCAAAGGAAGGUGACCUGGGAACUCAGCUAGGGAGGGGUAACUGUUAGCCAAGGGGACCAGAUGCUCAACCUGUUCAACGACAUGCAACUGGGGAAAGAAUAGAGAGCCACCACCCAGAAACCAUCUAGGAGAAGAAAUGUUCCCAGCCAAGCAUCCAGACAAACCCACAUGUCCAUGGCUGCCUCAGACCACGCGAUGAAUCCUCAGCUUCCCUGUAGUUUCUGGGGUGGCAUGAGGGGAGGACUCCUAACUGACUUAGUUCUGGAACCCUCCCCCAGGGCUUUCUAUGCUGUCUACCCCUGUGUAACUACCAUGUCACAAGCCUACCCAGCCCCCUAUACUUUCACGUGGACACAGCCCCUUAUAUAUUCACCUAGAUACCAUUAUCUGAGUUGGCGGUUUCCUGUGCCCUCUGUGUGGUCAAAUGAUGCCACCAACUUUUAUCGCCAACUCCAGAGCCGGUGCCCAGAUGCCAUGGAUCCCAGUGCAUUUCCUUGCUCUCGGAAAUUGUUCUUUGAUUGCCGCUACCCUCGCUGGUGAUAUUUCCAACUCUUGUCCAAGUUGGGGACCAGGUACCAACCAGCUCAGCCAGGCUUGUAGUGAGGGGCCCAUUCGCAACCCCUCAUUUAGAAGAGGCCUCAGGUAGUGUACAAGUUACCCAGAUGCCUGCCAGUCUCACCCUCAAAUGUCUCCCCAUUUCCUUCACCCCAAAUCCUGAGUCCCAUCCCAGCAGCCCUCUGGCAUCUACCCUGCAGGGUCCACACUGUCACUUUGAGGGCUGAUCAGAUGUUCAGAGAUGGAGAUACCCCAUGGUGUGUCUCUUGAACCAGCAUCUAGCCUCUACUGCCUAAAGGAUUUCCGUCAUGAUGCCCCACCCCCAUCCUCACAGACCGCCCCCUCUCCCCCAGCCAGGCUUGGCAGGACCUCAACAUCUCCCUCUGCUUUUCUUUUUGAGUGCUGCUUCAGAAGUCACUGUGGGCACCUUUUCUCCCCAGCCCUUGUCCUGGGUCAGCGCUCUCAUGUCCUCCACCAGGGCAGAUAGUUUUGCGUGUCAAUUUUUUUUUUAAAUUACACAACAGCCUGAGAAACCUGGAAACCCUGAAGACCCAUCACCCACACUGAGCCCUCUCAUCCAUUAAAGUGGAUCUCACUGGGCCUGCAGCCACCAUCCUUCCAAGCCUCUACCCUGUGCCCUUCCCUUAGAGAAGGCCCCGGCUCUCUGGCUGCCAUGUGUGGAGCUGUGUCCUCCAGGUAGUGUCCUGGAGCACGCUAGGAUCACAGAAUACAACAGGUACUCUCUGAAGCCUCUUCAAAAGCCCAUUUGGAUGGACUUGAGCCAGGAGCCUCUCUCUUUCUGCACGGAGCUCACGGCACACACCACAUUGUUG